UACGGAGGGGGUUAGCGUUGUUCGGAAUUACUGGGCGUAAAGCGCACGUAGGCGGAUUAGAAAGUUGGGGGUGAAAUCCCGGGGCUCAACCCCGGAACUGCCUCCAAAACUCCUAGUCUAGAGUUCGAGAGAGGUGGGCGGAACUACAAGUGUAGAGGUGAAAUUCGUAGAUAUUUGGAGGAACACCAGUGGCGAAGGCGGCUCACUGGCUCGAUACUGACGCUGAGGUGCGAAAGUGUGGGGAGCAAACAGG
rnacentral:rRNA from 1 species